CGAACGGGUGAGUAACGCGUAGGAACCUGUCGCGGAGUGGGGACAACGCCGGGAAACUGGUGCUAAUACCGCAUGAUGUUUAUACGGGAGACCGUAUAAAAGAAAGCAGCAAUGCGCUCUGUGAGGGGCCUGUGUCCGAUUAGCUUGUUGGUGGGGUAAAGGCCUACCAAGGCGACGAUCGGUAGCUGGUCUGAGAGGACGGUCAGCCACACUGGGACUGAGACACGGCCCAG
rnacentral:rRNA from 1 species